AAUUUCAAGGCUUUAGACUUGGAUUCUCAAAGCCAAUCGAAGUCUGAUCAUAGCAACCAUAACCACCCCUGGCAUGGGGACCAUGGACAUGAUAAUGAUAGAGAUAUGGCUAAAGAUGCUAUUGAUGCUGUCUAUGAUAUUUUAAGGUCCAACCAGGGCUUGCUAGAAAACCAGAUAAACAGAGGUUCUGAUCGGCAAAUUGGCGUAGCUGAACAGUGCUCCAAUUCCCAAGAAAACAGUUGCUCCAAGGAUGGCGACGGCGAGGGCGGAAAA
rnacentral:lncRNA from 1 species